rfam:Penicillium marneffei ATCC 18224 scf_1105668340984 genomic scaffold, whole genome shotgun sequence.
GGCCGUGUACGUCAGUGGUAGACUGUUACCCUCCUAUGAGCUGAAAAAGCUGUAGAUAAGGUAGAAACCUGGGUUCGAACCCCAGCAUGGUCG